rnacentral:rRNA from 1 species
CCUACGGGAGGCAGCAGUGGGGAAUAUUGGGCAAUGGAGGCAACUCUGACCCAGCAACGCCGCGUGAAUGAUGAAGGUCUUCGGAUUGUAAAGUUCUGUGAUGGGGGAUGAACACAAUGACGGUACCCCAAUAGCAAGCCACGGCUAACUACGUGCCAGCAGCCGCGGUAAUACGUAGGUGGCAAGCGUUAUCCGGAAUGACUGGGCGUAAAGGGGGCGUAGGUGGUUUAGUAAGUUGGCGGUGUAAUUCCGGGGCUCAACCUCGGCGCUACCGCCAAAACUAUUAGACUAGAGUGCAGGAGGAGUAAGUGGAAUUCCUAGUGUAGCGGUGGAAUGCGUAGAUAUUAGGAGGAACAUCAGGGGCGAAGGCGACUUACUGGACUGUAACUGACACUGAGGCACGAAAGCGUGGGGAGCAAACAGGAUUAGAUACCCCAGUAGUC